CGUUCACCAACAGGAUCGUGCCCCGCGGGACGUGGAAGCCGCCGACGACGCACUCGUCGGACGACUCGUGCGGCACCAGGAGAGGGCCUGCGGGGUACAUCCGGAGCGUCUCGGCGACGACGCAGUGGAGGUAGGGAAGGUUAGGCAGGUCGGACUCGUCGAGCAAGCGCCCGUUGCCAACGCGUGCGUCAAUCUCGGCUCGCGUUUUGUCCAUUGCAUUUGGAUGGUUGAGCAGAAGCGACAACGCCCAUUCGAUUGUACGGGCCGUCGAAUCCGUUCCAGCUGAUAAUAAGAUCUUCGGAGAACAUUGAAACGGGAAGAAUCAGCAUCACACCAUCAUCAAAUAGACAAAGCAGCAGCUCAGAUUUAGAAGAAGAACUCACUGAAAUAAGUGAUUUGAUGAUCUGAUCUGAAUAGUUCUCAGGAUCUGUCUUCUGCAACGAGAGGAGAUCACUUAUCGUCGUCUUCUCCUCUUUAGCCUCAGUGGUUUGACUCUCGUCGCCGCCCUUGGUCCUCAGCUCAUCGAUUAGUUGCUGCAGGAACUCGUCCCUCACCCUGUGCAGCCUCAUCAACUUUCGCCUGACUCCACCGUAAUCGACCCACCUCAGCAGCGGAAUGAAGUCAACGACGUUGGACGCGCCGCUCAACGCGAAUAUUUCCUCCACCGUGACCAUAAACCUCUUCGACUCUUCCGACACCACUCCCUCCUCCCCGGAGUACCUCUUCCCCGCGAUCGUCCGCAUCAGGACGUUCAUCGCAAGCUGGAACAACCUCGUCUUGAGCUCCACCUUGGCCAACCCAUCGGCUGCGGCGUCGCACGCCCGAAGCAGUUCCCGGGCCAUGGAGCGCACCUCGUGGGCGCGAGCGUCGGACGAGGACCGGAGGCGGUGGGAGGAGAGGACCUCGACGGUGGCGACGCGGCGGAAGUGACGCCAGUAGGGGCCAUAGUUGGCGAAGUCGAGGGUGGUGUUGUUUUUGUACAAAAGGUAUUUCCUAGAGGGGAGGAUGGGGCGGUUGGCGAAGGUGAUGUCGUGGGUCGUGAAGCACUCGUCGGCGGCGGCUGGGGAGGCGACGACGAGGACGGGACGGCCGCCGAAGCGGAGGAGCAGGACAGGGCCGUGCAGGGCGGUGAGGCGGGCAAGGCAGCGGUGCAGGGGCUUCCUGCAGAGAUGCAGGUGGCCUAUGAAGGGGAGGGAAGGAGGGCUUGGCGGUAAAUUCUUCUUCGUGUUGUUCUUCUUGGCGGAGAAAAGGAGAUAGAGCAAGAGGAUUAGCACAAGGAAGAGGGUGAAGGAGAAGGAUGCUUCCAUGGUAAGCAGCAGGAUGUGUGUGUGUGUGUGUGUGUGUGUGUGCGGAUAGAGGGAAGGGAUAUAGGUGCCGUUAACACGGCUGGCAACCACAGGGCUAAUUAGAUGUUAGAUCAUCUUAGCAUUUCAGUCUUUGGAUUCAAAAAAAAUUUAUAUUUAUCUUUUUAUUAUUAUGAAAGUGAGGCACCAUCAACUUUACUUAUAGGAGAUUAUAAUAUUAUUAAUUUUAAUAAUUUUAAAAUAAUUAUUUUAGAGAAUAUCGUUUUAUCAUAUCACCUCUAGUUGUUCUAUUUCCAUCAUCUUAAAAAGUUUAUUGAUCUCGCAAAUCACAAUGGUGUUCAAUAUGAUCGCUUGGUGAUGGGAUGAUACUGAAGAAGGAAAGCUGAUGAAGACGGGUAUCAACUUAUCUAUAUAAUUGACGAAAACAAGAUAAUAUAUAUGUACCAACAAAGGAGGUAGACGAAGAUAUUAUCGGAGGAAAGCGACAUGAUAAAAUCAAUAUCUGAUUCAUAAAAUAGAUAAUUCUACACCUGUUUCCUGAUUUGAUAAGAAUAAAUAAAAUUAAAUAUUUUAUUUUGAUAAUUAUAAAAAUAUUAGUAUAAAUUUUUAAAUCUAAAAAAUAAAACACUAAGAGGAUAACUACGAGGGGACAAUAUAACACGAGCUAAGAAACAAAUUUUCUUCAAUCAACUUCGCAUCUCGUCGUACGGGGAGAGUUUUUUUAUUUGUCGGAGGGAGGUUCCCAUGAUUCGUGAGGCGAAGGAUAAAGUAGGAGGGACAUCAAGAGAGAGAAUACUUUAUGACACGAUUGGUGUCGCAUCUCCCAAUACUUUAUUCCUUCUCUCUCUCUUUUCUUAUAUGCCCAUAUUGCCCCCAAUAUAACAAAGCUCCAACACAUACGUUUCUGUCAUGGAUCGGUCCUCCAGCGAAAUCGAUCAGUGCUACGUCCGCCCGAGAGUCACUGUUCUCUCCAUUGAUGGGUUCAGACAAAAACAAAAACAUAGCGUUCAAUGUUUAAUAGUUGCACCCAUUGAGACUUCCUCAAAUAUUUAACAAAGGAAUUCAUAUCUAGCAACCAAAAGAGGGAUCUGCUCUUCCUUCUCCACCUUCUUCUAAAACUUGUAUGCAAUGAAAAAUUCAAAACGAGUGUGCACCAAGUCAUAGCAUCUUUUAUAACUAAAUAAAAAUACUGUGAUGAUGUUAAAAAAUAUUGUAACUCACUUCUUAUCACUCAAAAAUCCCUUCUAACUUUGCAUGUGAACUGUAUUAUUGAAUCUUUACUAUUUAUGAUAAAGUCUAAUAAGGUUUGUUUAUUUAUUAUCGAAAAUUAUUGCCUUGCCCAUAUUCUCAAACAUGCAUUGCAUUGUGUAGAUAUCAUUUUGUAACCACUUAUUAUUGUAAUUUGUAUCGUGAUUCUGAAUUCUUGCAUAGAUCUAACUUUUCUUUUAAGAGAACUCAAGCCUCAUGACUGUGAGAUUAUGAUUCAAUUGGUGACAACAUCAGAUGACUGCUUUCAUCUGGUAUUUUUCGGCAUUUCGAAGAUGACUUGGAGAUUUAUAACAUAUAUAUGACCUACCUUUAGCAUAAACGCAGCAUAUUUAUAGAAUAAAUAUUCUGGUGCUUUAUUGACUAUUACAAUAAUUGAUGGUACAUAUAAACUGCUUCCACUUGAAUUUGCUAUCAUCAAGAUUAAAAAUGGAGAUUCUUAUGAGUUAUUUCAGUUUGAACUUAGAAGAUAUAUUAGAGCAUUUGAAUCUUUGGCUCUUAUUAAUGAUCACAACCCUAGUAUUCUUUCGAUUAUAAAAGAUAUUUUAUUUGAAGCACAUCAUGGAUAUUUCAUGAUAUAUCUUUAAAAAGAUACAUGGUUACUAAAGUGCAUAAUAGAAAAGCAACAUAGUUGUUUUGGUUUAUUAAUUAAACAAAAGAUAUGUAUAAAUUCAAUGAAUGUAAGAAAAGAAUAAGAGAUCAUAAGUUAACAUUGGUUUUGUCGAUUGAUAAGAUAUUUUGGGUUGCUAUUUUAGACCAUCAUAUUAGAAGUUUUCACUAAUUUUACUAUAAUUGUCUUUAAGUAAUUCAUUAUAUACGGUUGAGGAAAAACUCAACAGUUUUGACCCUUCUUCUUUGUCUUGCCAAAUUAAUCAUCGACAAUGAUUGUUAAGUAAUAAGCAACCAACGAAUCUCCCUUAAUAAUAAAUUCAUAUUUAAUAAUUUUUCUUCUUAUCAUUUCAAUUAUAUAAGUAAUAAAUCAUGAACCUCAUUUAACAAUAAAUAUAUACUUUUUAAUCCAUUUUUCGUGAGCAUGGUGUACCAACACAACCAAGAAAAAAUUAUGAUUGUUAUUUUCUCUUUCUCAAGUUCAAAUAUCCAAAGUUUAUCAAUGGUUUUUUCCUCAACUUUUAUAUGCAUUUUAUUUGUCAAGCAAUUUUAUAUUGGUGGUAAAAGAUAUAUCUAUUACAUAUCAACUCACCGCCACAGAGCUUACUAACUAGCCUGUGUCAUGCAUGCUGCUUUCUGCUUUCUGCUUUGUCUUCUUGAUCAUCUGUGAUUCAACCAUGGGAUCAAGUGCCAAGCUAGUAUUUAUCCUGCGACAGAUGACACAAAGCUGACCUAAAGCUCCGAGCUGAGAUGAGCCAAGCUUGGGCGUGGAUGACACGUCGCUUCAAGAGCGACAGCUUUGGGCAGUGAGAGGCCCGACCCUUCGGCCAUGUCCACCUCCUUGUCGCCGACUCUGCCCCACUCGAAGCACUGGAUCAACGUUCCCAGCGUCAGCCCCAUCAUUCUCGCUGCCAGCCCUUCCCCGGGGCACUUCCUCCUCCCCAUGCCGAACGGCGCCAGCCACUUCCCUUCUCCCUUCCCACCCUCGAACCUCUCCGGCAUGAACCUCGCCGGUUCGUCCCACGUCUUGGGGUCCCGGUGCAUGGCAUAGGCGUUCACCAACAGGAUCGUGCCCCGCGGGACGUGGAAGCCGCCGACGACGCACUCGUCGGCCGACUCGUGCGGCACCAGGAGAGGGCCUGCCGGGUACAUCCGGAGCGUCUCGGCGACGACGCAGUGGAGGUAGGGAAGGCUAGGCAGGUCGGACUCCUCGAGCAAGCGCCCGUUGCCAACGCGUGCGUCAAUCUCGGCUCGCGUUUUGUCCAUCGCGUUGGGAUGGUUUAGCAGAAGCGACAUCGCCCAUUCGAUUGUAUUGGCCGUCGCAUCCGUUCCAGCUGAUAAUAAGC
rnacentral:lncRNA from 1 species